rnacentral:rRNA from 1 species
GGGGGCCCAGCAAUGGGCAACCGGCGAACGGGUGCGUAACACGUGAGCAACCUACCGAACUGUGGGGGAUAGCCGGCCUAACGGCCGAGUAAUACCGCAUACGCUUUCAGUGAGGCAUUUCAUUGAAAGGAAACCUACGGGACAGAUCGAGGGGCUCGCGGCCUAUCAGCUAGUUGGCGAGGUAACGGCUCACCAAGGCAACGACGGGUAGCUGGUCUGAGAGGAUGGCCAGCCACAUUGGGACUGAGAUACGGCCCAGACUCCUACGGGAGGCAGCAGUGGGGAAUCUUGCGCAAUGGCCUAACGGCUGACGCAGCGACGCCGCGUGUGGGAUGAAGCUCUUCGGA